UUAACUCAAUUUUGUAUGCAGAUGGAACGUUUGCCCACGUUUCCCGCUGGGGGUGCUAUUCCAACUGCAUACAAAUUUGAGUUA
rfam:Bombyx mori DNA, contig: Bm_scaf16_contig12329, strain: p50T/Dazao, build 2, whole genome shotgun sequence.